GCGGGCGUGGUGGAAUUGGCAGACACACCAGAUUUAGGUUCUGGCGACGCGAGUCAUGGGGGUUCAAGUCCCUCCGCCCGCACCA
rnacentral:tRNA from 1 species